UCCCCGGUGGUCCAGUGGUUAGGACUCUGAGCUUGCACUUCAGGGGGCACAGGUCCGAUCCCUGGUCGGGGAA